CGUCAGAAGUUUCCCUCAGGAUAGCUGGCGCUCUCGCACGCGAACGCACACAGUUGUAUCCGGUAAAGCGAAUGAUUAGAGGUCUUGGGGCCGAAACGAUCUCAAC
rnacentral:miRNA from 1 species